UACGGAGGGUGCAAGCGUUGCUCGGAAUUAUUGGGCGUAAAGGGUAGGUAGGUGGUCUCAUUUGUCUGAGGUGAAAGCCUUGAGCUUAACUCAAGAAGUGCCCCAGAAACGGUGAGACUAGAGUCCUGGAGAGGGUCGUGGAAUUCCCGGUGUAGCGGUGAAAUGCGUAGAGAUCGGGAGGAACACCAGAGGCGAAGGCGGCGACCUGGACAGGCACUGACACUCAACUACGAAAGCGUGGGGAGCAAACAGG
rnacentral:rRNA from 1 species